rnacentral:rRNA from 1 species
CACGGGGGGAGCAAGCGUUGUUCGGAAUCACUGGGCGUAAAGGGCGUGUAGGCGGUCAAGUAAGUGGAAUGUGAAAUGCCCGGGCUCACCCCGGGACCGGCAUCCCAAACUGCUUGGCUUGAGUAUGGGAGAGGAUGAGGGAAUUCCUGGUGUAGCGGUGAAAUGCGUAGAUAUCAGGAGGAACACCGGUGGCGAAGGCGCUCAUCUGGCCCAAUACUGACGCUGAGGCGCGAAAGCUAGGGGAGCAAACGGG